UCGGGAAUUUUGGGCAAUGGGCGAAAGCCUGACCCAGCAACGCCGCGUGAAGGAUGAAGUAUUUCGGUAUGUAAACUUCGAAAGAAUAGGAAGAAUAAAUGACGGUACUAUUUAUAAGGUCCGGCUAACUACGUGCCAGCAGCCGCGGUAAUACGUAGGGACCAAGCGUUGUUCGGAUUUACUGGGCGUAAAGGGCGCGUAGGCGGCAUGACAAGUCACUUGUGAAAUCUCUGGGCUUAACCCAGAACGGCCAAGUGAUACUGUCGCGCUAGAGUGCAGAAGGGGCAAUCGGAAUUCUUGGUGUAGCGGUGAAAUGCGUAGAUAUCAAGAGGAACACCUGAGGCGAAGGCGAGUUGCUAGGCUGACACUGACGCUGAGGUACGAAAGCGUGGGGAGCAAACAGGAUUAGAUACCCCUGUAGUCCCUGAGCGGGCUGGCAAGGCGCAU
rnacentral:rRNA from 1 species